rnacentral:tRNA from 1 species
GGCCGAGUGGCGAAAUUGGCAGACGCACAGGACUUAAAAUCCUGUUGGGAGUAAUCCCAGUGCGGGUUCGAUCCCCGCCUCGGCUA